rnacentral:rRNA from 1 species
UUCCAGACUCCUACGGGAGGCAGCAGUGGGGAAUAUUGCACAAUGGGGGGAACCCUGAUGCAGCGACGCCGCGUGGGUGAAGGAGUAUUUCGGUAUGUAAAGCCCUAUCAGCAGGGAAGAACAAUGACGGUACCUGACUAAGAAGCACCGACUAAAUACGUGCCAGCAGCCGCGGUAAUACGUAUGGUGCAAGCGUUAUCCGGAUUUACUGGGUGUAAAGGGAGCGCAGGCGGCGCGUUAAGCCUGGUGUGAAAGCCCGGGGCCCAACCCCGGGACUGCUCUUGGAACUGCGCGGCUGGAGUGCAGGAGGGGCAGGCGGAAUUCCUGGUGUAGCGGUGAAAUGCGUAGAUAUCAGGAGGAACACCGGUGGCGAAGGCGGCCUGCUGGACUGCGACUGACGUUGAGGCCCGAAAGCGUGGGGAGCAAACAGGAUUAGAUACCCCAGUACCA